CCGAAAGAGCACGCUUAGACAGAAGGAGACUCCAUUGCCAGUGUGCCACCUGCUAGCUAGUCCGUAGCAUUGGAGCUCUAGCCCGAUUUUCGUCUGUGUGAAGAGGGGUGAGUCACUCCGGGCCCUGACAGCGGCAGGAUGCAUGAGUGUCGUAAUUUGCAUUUGUGAGUUCGGAUGGUGCCUUCGGUGUACGGUGGUCUUUUGAGGGAGACUGACUGAGGGAGGGAGGUGAACUCUGAGAACUUGGGCUGGAGUUCUGGGUGGCUUCUGCUUGGAGCUAGAAUGUCAGACCCCCCCUCCCCCCUUUUUGGACGGCAGUAGGACUGACAGAUAGAAGUGAGGAAUAAGGAGAAGAUGGUGUGGCGAUUUGUUGAGAUUUUCUAAAAUGGCCCUUUUACUCAUUGAGUUUGACACCCCUGGUCUAGCCUAAUGAGACUGCAGGAGGCUGAUGGACAGAGGGACUUAAGGACCUAACCAGGGGAUAUUUGAGUAGAGCACCAUGCAGGAAAGCUCCUAACCACUGAAGGCAUUCAUAAUUAGCAG